UGGGGAAUUUUGGACAAUGGGGGCAACCCUGAUCCAGCCAUUCCGCGUGAGUGAAGAAGGCCUUCGGGUUGUAAAGCUCUUUCGGCAGGAACGAAACGGCGGGCUCUAACAUAGCCUGUUAAUGACGGUACCUGAAGAAGAAGCACCGGCUAACUACGUGCCAGCAGCCGCGGUAAUACGUAGGGUGCGAGCGUUAAUCGGAAUUACUGGGCGUAAAGCGUGCGCAGGCGGAUUGUUAAGCAAGACGUGAAAUCCCCGGGCUUAACCUGGGAAUGGCGUUUUGAACUGGCAGUCUAGAGUGCGUCAGAGGGGGUGGAAUUCCACGUGUAGCAGUUAAAUGCGUAGAGAUGUGGAGGAACACCGGAUGGCGAAGGCAGCCCCCUGGGAUGACACUGACGCUCA
rnacentral:rRNA from 1 species